rnacentral:rRNA from 1 species
UACGUAUGGGGCAAGCGUUAUCCGGAUUUACUGGGUGUAAAGGGGGCGCAGACGGCGAUGCAAGCCAGGAGUGAAAGCCCGGGGCCCAACCCCGGGACUGCUCUUGGAACUGCGUGGCUGGAGUGCAGGAGGGGCAGGCGGAAUUCCUGGUGUAGCGGUGAAAUGCGUAGAUAUCAGGAGGAACACCGGUGGCGAAGGCGGCCUGCUGGACUGCAACUGACGUUGAGGCCCGAAAGCGUGGGGAGCAAACAGG